UACGUAGGGGGCGAGCGUUGUCCGGAUUUAUUGGGCGUAAAGAGCUCGUAGGCGGUUUGGCAAGUCGGGUGUGAAAACUCCGGGCUCAACUCGGAGACGCCACUCGAUACUGCCAUGACUUGAGUCCGGUAGGGGAGUGCGGAAUUCCUGGUGUAGCGGUGAAAUGCGCAGAUAUCAGGAGGAACACCGGUGGCGAAGGCGGGUCUCUGGGCCGAUACUGACGCUGAGGAGCGAAAGCGUGGGGAGCGAACAGG
rnacentral:rRNA from 1 species